rnacentral:rRNA from 1 species
UGCGUAGGCGGUUAUCUAAGUCACGUGUGAAAUCUUCCGGCUCAACCGGAAAACUGCGCGUGAUACUGGAUGACUUGAGUGAGGUAGGGGUAUGUGGAACUUCCGGUGGAGCGGUGAAAUGUGUAGAGAUCGGAAGGAACGCCAGCAGCGAAAGCGGCAUACUGGGCCUUGUCUGACGCUGAGGCACGAAAGCUAGGGUAGUGAACGGGAUUAGAUACCCCGGUAAUCCUAGCCGUAAACACUGAACACUGGAGGACGGGGGCUUCGGCCUUCGUUCUCGUAGCGAAAGCGUUAAGUGUUCCGCCUGGGGAGUAUGGUCGCAAGGCUGAA